AGGUUUCAGGAGGAGCAGCGGAUGAACGUGGACACGGUGGAGGAGUUGAAAGCGGCCUUCGAGGAGUGGCGGAGCCAGAAGAAGCAUUCGCGUGAGGCGAUACCGAGGGAGCUGCUGGACCGAACACGGCGAGCGAUUGACGUCCAUGGGUGGAGCGCCAUCCGGAAGGCGACGAGGGUUGAGGCUCGCCGCGUGGG
rnacentral:misc_RNA from 1 species